GCCUCUCUGUCCGCCGCGAUCCCUCCUCAGGCCGCAGCUUUGACGAAUGGGGUUCUGGAGGCCCGGCUGCACAACUGAAGGCAUAAACGGGGAGCUGAAGCUGCCCUUCCUGCAGAAGCUGCUGCGUGAGCCUCGUCAGCAGCUCGGCGGCCCAGCAGGGCGGCGGCGAGGCUCCAGGGCAAGUGUGCAAAGUCACCGGACUCCAAACCCUCAAGAAGAUGCAGUCUGCCCAGGGGUCCCCUCGACUCACUGCUGGGUGACCGGCAGGGGCUCAGGUGACAGCGAAGUACGCUGUGGUGCAUCCAGUCAACGGGCUGUUCUUUGGGCCAGAAGGAAGGGGGCUCUCGGGCCCAAAGGGUGGAGGCGUUUCUGUGCGUGUCACUAAGUAAGCGAGGCCGGGGCGGGGGGGCCGGCUGCACACUGUGGGUUCCAACUCGAUGACCUUCUGGAAAACGCAAAACUGUGGACACGAACCACGGAAUGCACGGCCCCCAGACCGACCUAAGGUGAGCUGCGGAUUUGGGGUGAUGACGGUGUGUGCCCGCUGGCCCCGGCGCUGCGGGGGGUGCUGCGGGGGGGGCAGGGCGCACGGGAAGGCUCUCAGCUCACCGCACAGUUCUCUAAAACUAA